ACAGGGAUGCCCUAGUAACGGCGAGUGAAGCGGCAACAGCUCAAUUUGAAAUCUGGCUCUCGGGCCCGAGUUGUAAUUUGUAGAGGAUGCUUUUGAUGCGGUGCCUUCCGAGUUCCCUGGAACGGGACGCCAUAGAGGGUGAGAGCCCCGUCUGGUUGGAUGCCAAAUCUCUGUAAAGCUCCUUCAACGAGUCGAGUAGUUUGGGAAUGCUGCUCUAAAUGGGAGGUAUAUGUCUUCUAAAGCUAAAUACCGGCCAGAGACCGAUAGCGCACAAGUAGAGUGAUCGAAAGAUGAAAAGCACUUUGAAAAGAGAGUUAAAAAGUACGUGAAAUUGUUGAAAGGGAAGCGUUUAUGACCAGACUUGGGCUUGGUUAAUCAUCUGGGGUUCUCCCCAGUGCACUUUUCCAGUCCAGGCCAGCAUCAGUUUUCCCCGGGGGAUAAAGGCGGCGGGAAUGUGGCUCUCUUCGGGGAGUGUUAUAGCCCGCCGUGUAAUACCCUGGGGGGGACUGAGGUUCGCGCAUCUGCAAGGAUGCUGGCGUAAUGGUCAUCAACGACCCGUCUUGAAACACGGACCAAGGAGUCGUCUUCGUAUGCGAGUGUUCGGGUGUCAAACCCCUACGCGUAAUGAAAGUGAACGCAGGUGAGAGCUUCGGCGCAUCAUCGACCGAUCCUGAUGUUCUCGGAUGGAUUUGAGUAAGAGCAUACGGGGCCGGACCCGAAAGAAGGUGAACUAUGCCUGUAUAGGGUGAAGCCAGAGGAAACUCUGGUGGAGGCUCGCAGCGGUUCUGACGUGCAAAUCGAUCGUCAAAUAUGGGCAUGGGGGCGAAAGACUAAUCGAACUUCUAGUAGCUGGUUUCGCG
rnacentral:rRNA from 1 species